rnacentral:rRNA from 1 species
GCUUACGGCCACACCACCCUGAACAAGCCGAUCUUGUCCGAUCUCGGAAGCUAAGCAGGGCCGGGCCUGGUUAGUACUUGGAUGGGAGACCGCCUGGGAAUACCAGGUGCUGUAAGUU